UUGCGGAAGCGGAUGCGGAAUCGCUCGUCGAGCAAUUCCUUGAGGAAGUACAGUUUGAUCAACUGGACCCUGAAGAGCUGGAGGUGGUUAAGCUGUUGAAGCAAUUCGACUUGUUUUGGAGGUUAUUACCGCAUUCAUCAGAAAUAAGUACUCGUUGCCUUCGCUCCGGCUUAUAGAGAGGAAGGAAGUGAAGAGCUAAUCCAGGCGCCGUUCCUAGCUGAAAGUACUAAGGUUAUCCACGGACUGAACCAGUGGCGAUAUAAUCAGGGUCUUCCAACCCUGUCACACACGUCAACUCCUGUCGCACACGUUGAGAAAACCUCAGUAUCUCGAGAAGAGUGUACGGCAUCCUAUCUACUCACUCACUCUGCAGAAUGAAGAUCGAUCAUGGAAAAGUACAAUUCAUCUGACCUCAAGCUUCUGUCACGUAAGGACAACCCAACUAACAAUUUUCGCAAUGUAAACGCUUGACUCAUUUCAUUUAUACAGCCUCAAGCUGUAUUCAAAUGUUAUACGAUAUGAGGAAACCUUUACUCAACCUCUAUACAAGCAAAUCUGGCGAACUUAGUCAGCUACUUCUAACUGUUGUGACGGUUGGAACAAGCUCUUAUUGCAUAUCUAUUUAAGCUUGUAUACAGCUGUUAUCCUGCUGUUUAGUUGUGUGUGAACUUGAAAGGCGCUUACUCAACCUUUACCCGAUUAUGCAAUAAUCACUACACAGCUUUCUCUUGAAGCCGAGUUAAAUAUUAUCUACGCUUUUUUUGUUGGAGAUUGAUUGAGUUUAUUUUGAUGCGAGAAUCAAAUUAUUCGAAAUUCGUUAUAAAGCACACCACCAAAUUAUUUACCCUGCACCGGAACCUGGAAUCGAACUCUGGACGACCGUAUUGGCAAACCUUGACACUACCAUCUUCGCUACGCCACCACGUUGAACUGAGUUAAACAAAUAUACAUGACUUUCUACAACAAUACCGUUGAGUAGAGGCUGUCUAAUAGUGCAAUGCACAUGAAUCACUUUUCUCGACUACCCAACUAACAAUUUUCGCAAUGUAAACGCUUUACUCAUUUCAUUUAUACAGUCUCAAGCUGUAUUCAAACGUUAUACGAUAUGAG